rnacentral:sRNA from 1 species
UUUUUUUUGAGUUUUU